UACGUAGGGGGCAAGCGUUAUCCGGAAUUACUGGGUGUAAAGGGAGCGUAGACGGCUGUGCAAGUCUGGAGUGAAAGGCGGGGGCCCAACCCCCGGACUGCUCUGGAAACUGCGGGGCUGGAGUGCAGGAGGGGUAAGCGGAAUUCCUAGUGUAGCGGUGAAAUGCGUAGAUAUUAGGAGGAACACCAGUGGCGAAGGCGGCUUACUGGACGAUGACUGACGCUGAGGCUCGAAAGCGUGGGGAGCAAACAGG
rnacentral:rRNA from 1 species